AUGGAUGGAGUAUUGUCGUUACACGAAAUUCUACAUCAUACUUAUAGCAAGAAGAAGGUGGGGAUUGUCAUCAAGCUUGAUUUCGAGAAGGCCUAUGACAAAGUGAACUGGGACUUUCUUUUAGAAUGUCUUGAGAUGAGAGGGUUUGGUCCCACAUGGUGUGGGUGGAUUAAAAGUGUCCUGGUUGAUGGCACAGUCAGUGUGAAGCUGAACAAUGUGAUGGGGCCAUAUUUCAAGAGCUUUAAAGGGGUUAGACAGGGGGAUCCUGUGUCGCCCUUCCUUUUUAACAUUGCUGUUGAAUGCUUGUGUAAAAUGGUGCUGCAGGCGCAGAAAAAUAAUCUAGUUGUGGGACUCACUCCGGAUCUUGUUGAAAAUGGAGUGGCAAUUCUGCAAUAUGCAGAUGAUACAGUCCUUUGCAUAGACCAUGAUUUGGAUAAAGCUGUGAAUAUGAAGUUGCUGUUAUACAUAUUUGAGCUCAUGUCUGGGUUCAAAAUCAAUUUCCAGAAAAGUGAGAUUCUGUGUGUAGGGGGGAUGAUGAGAUCCUUAAAGCAUAUGCUGAUAUUUUUGAUUGUCAAAUAG
rnacentral:rRNA from 1 species